rnacentral:rRNA from 1 species
UACGUAGGGUCCAAGCGUUAUCCGGAAUCACUGGGCGUAAAGCGUGCGUAGGUGGCGUGUUAAGUGAGAUGUGAAAGCGCGGGGCUCAACCCUGUCGAUGUGUCUCAUACUGGCAUGCUAGAGGACGGCAGAGGCAAGUGGAAUUACGAGUGUAGCAGUGAAAUGCGUAGAGAUUCGUAGGAACACCAAUGGCGAAGGCAGCUUGCUGGGCCACUCCUGACACUGAGGUACGAAAGCGUGGGGAGCGAACAGG